rnacentral:rRNA from 1 species
AAUAUUGGACAAUGGGCGAAAGCCUGAUCCAGCCAUGCCGCGUAUUGGAAAAAGGUCUUCGGAUUGUAAAGCACUUUAAGUUGGGAGGAAGGGCAGUUAGUCAAUGCAUUUCUGUUUUGACGUUACCGACAGACUAAGCAGCGGAUAAUGUCGUGCCUGAAGCCGCGGUAAUACGAAGGGUGCAAGCGUUAAUCGGAAUUACUGUGCGUAAAGCGCGCGGAGGUGGUUUGUUAAGUUGGAAGUGGAAGCCCCGCGCUCAACCUGGGAACUGCUUUCAAAACUGGCAAGCUAGAGUAUGGCAGAGGGUGGUGGAAUUUCCUGUGUAGCGGUGAAAUGAGUAGAUAUAGGAAGGAACAAAAGUGGCGAAGGCGACCACCUGGGCUAAUACAGACACUGAGGUGCGAAAGAGUGGUGAGCAAACA